CCCGGAGGCGUGUCUCAGUGUGUUUGGGUUCGUGCUCCUGGGGGGAGGGAGACGGCGGCGAGGAAAGUUUUUAUUUUUAUUUUGUUUUCAGUUUCUGGGGUUCGCGCUUCCCGGGCGGGUGAAGCGAGCGGGCGGGAAGAGCCGCCCCCGGCGCUGAGAAGAAGGGGGCUACGCGCACCACAGCGGCGGCUCCUCGGCGGGUUUUGUUUUUGCACUGAAUGUAGCCAGGACGGACCCUUGUGGGCUUUAGCAGCCCGAGGAAACUGUCAAAGGCACUAUUUUGCAUUUCUGCAGUUUUGCACAGAUUCUGUUCCCAUGCAAACCGAUGAGGGAGAAAUACUGGAGGAAGGCAGUCCCCAGAUGGAACAUGAGGAUUUUGUAAUGGAAGGGCAUGGCAAGACUCCACCUCCUGGUGAAGAAAACAAACAGUGAGUCUCACGUUUAUUUAAAAAGGGCCUUACCAUAGUAAAUGGUGGGAAUCACUCUUGUUUAAACGUGCUGGAAGCAUUGGUUGUUCU
rnacentral:lncRNA from 1 species